GACGAACGCUGGCGGCGUGCCUAAUACAUGCAAGUUGAGCGCUGAAGGUUGGUACUUGUACCGACUGGAUGAGCAGCGCACGGGUGAGUAACGCGUGGGGAAUCUGCCUUUGAGCGGGGGACAACAUUUGGAAACGAAUGCUAAUACCGCAUAAAAACUUUAAACACAAGUUUUAAGUUUGAAAGAUGCAAUUGCAUCACUCAAAGAUGAUCCCGCGUUGUAUUAGCUAGUUGGUGAGGUAAAGGCUCACCAAGGCGAGGAUACAUAGCCGACCUGAGAGGGUGAUCGGCCACAUUGGGACUGAGACACGGCCCAAACUCCUACGGGAGGCAGCAGUAGGGAAUCUUCGGCCAUGGACGAAAGUCUGACCGAGCAACGCCGCGGGAGUGAAGAAGGUUGUCGGAUCGUAAAACUCUGUUGGUAGAGAAGAACGUUGGUGAGAGUGGAAAGCUCAUCAAGUGACGGUAACUACCCAGAAAGGGACGGCUAACUACGUG
rnacentral:rRNA from 1 species